CAGCAGCCACGGUAAUACGAAGGGGGCUAGCGUUGCUCGGAAUGACUGGGCGUAAAAGGCGCGUAGGCGGCGAUCAAAGUCAGGCGUGAAAUUCCUGGGCUCAACCUGGGGGCUGCGCUUGAUACUUGGUUGCUUGAGUGGGGAGGAGGGUCGUGGAAUUCCCAGUGUAGAGGUGAAAUUCGUAGAUAUUGGGAAGAACACCGGUGGCGAAGGCGGCGACCUGGUCCUCGACUGACGCUGAGGCGCGAAAGCGUGGGGAGCAAACAGGAUUAGAUACCCCAGUAGUCCCUGUCUCUUAUAC
rnacentral:rRNA from 1 species